rnacentral:misc_RNA from 1 species
UGGCUCUCGCAUCGAUGAAGAACGCAGCGAAAUGCGAUAAGUAAUGUGAAUUGCAGAAUUCAGUGAAUCAUCGAAUCUUUGAACGCACCUUGCGCUCUUUGGUAUUCCGAAGAGCAUGACUGUUUGAGUGUCAUUAAAUUCUCAAACCAAUAGUUUCUAUUGGAUUUGGACUUUGAAAGUUGUUGAUGAAAAUCGACUCUUUUUAAAUAUAUUAGCUGGCAUUGAUUGUUAGUUAUGGUGUGAUAAUAUCUAUACUAUAUCUACAAUUGGCCGCUUCUAAUCGUCUUCGGACAAUUGACAAUUUGACCUCAAAUCAGGUAGGACUACCCGCUGA